AUAGCUCGUACUCCCCGAAAUGCUUUUAGGAGCAGCGUGGAGGUUAAGUCUGUUAGAGGUAGAGCUACCGAUAGGACUAGGGGGAGUCAAAUCCUACCAAAUCCUGACGAACUCCGAAUGCUAACAGAUAUACUCCGCAGUGAGGGCAAGGGUGCUAAGGUCCUUGUCCGAGAGGGAAAGAACCCAGACCUUCAGCUAAGGUCCCCAAGUGUAUACUAAGUUGAACUAAGGCGGUCCAGUUGCCGAGACAGCCAGGAGGUUAGCUUGGAAGCAGCUAUUCCUUUAAAGAGUGCGUAACAGCUCACUGGUCGAGCGACAGGGCAUCGAUGAUGAUCGGGCAUUAAGUAUACCACCGAAGCUAAGGCAGUAUUUAUACUGGGUAGGGGAGCAUUCUAUUCUGCUAUGAA
rnacentral:rRNA from 1 species